AAAAAUAUGGAGAUCUUUUUUUUAUUUAUUAUUUUCCUAAAAACAUAAACAGGAAAGGCUUAGCCUGGCGGUGGGGCUUGUAAAGCAUGGCGGGCCGCCAGGCCUAUAAUAUACUGAGGGAAACCCUGAUAAAACCUUAAAACAGUAACAUUAGCAUUAAAACAGAAAUUUAGAAUCACCAUCCAGAAAAAGUUGGAAAAUUGUUUUUUAAUAAUCUCCAAGAAACAACUGGUGGAUCAAAUAUCAUCAUACCUUCACUGUCACUUUCCCCAAACACCAAAACAUACAUACCAUCUUCUGACUCAAAAACUCCUUGACCUGUGCCUUCUCUACUGCACACAGCGGUUUCUCCAAACGAUGCAACGUGCCUUUUGUGGAGGUGUAUUUCCACAUUUCCCAUAUUUUCUCCCCCAAGUUGCCCUGCAUUUGCCUCCCGCUUCGUCCUUCCUUCCCCUCAACUUCUCUGCAUCGUCUGUCUUACUCCUGCUGGACUUAGGCUUUAGAUCUCCUCCAAGUGCUCUAAGAUACCAUUUAGGGGGCGGUUCUUGAUGAACACACAAUCAAUGUCUCUUAACAGACCAAGAGUUCAAAGUUGGAGGAUCUGCUUUUAUCGAAAAUUCCCAAUGUUCUCCGUUCGACACGCUGCUGAACAGACUACUUUUGUUGCAGAUGUAGCAAGUUAUUUCUUGGGGAGUUACCUCAUUUGAACAUCUGCUGAGUAAAUAAGACCCAGAAUAUGGACGCCGUGACAACAAUGUUCAUAUACACAUCAUUGAAAUAUUAACAUUCUAACAUUUUGUGAAGCUAUUUGGAAAACUGUUCCUGCCCCGUUAGGUAGUCAUUAAAAAGGGCAGCUAAACUCGUUGCAAACUAUACUUUACUAGAAGACUGAUUACUGUAUUUGUAGACGUUGGGUAUUGGCCAACAGGUAGACAUUAAG